rnacentral:ribozyme from 1 species
UGCCCAGUAACUCCUAUCUCUACCUCCUCGUGGUAUAGGCCGGGGUACGAGCAACCUUAGGGAAGAUCUGGUGACCAACCCCGGUGGGAACUUUGGUCGUAUGCUGACAGGGAAGG